CUCCAGGGGUGGGGGAGGGGGACAUUGGGGUCCUCCAAGAGUGGGGGUGGGAGAUGUGGGGUCCUCCAGGAGUGGGGUUUUGGGGUCCUCCAAGGGUGGGGGGUGGGAAUAUUGGGGUCCUCCAGGGGUGGGGGAGGGGGAUUUGGGGGUCCUCCCAGAGUGGGGUUUUGGGGCGUUUGGGGUCCUCCAGGGGUGGGGGAUGGGGAUGUGGGGGUCCUCCAGGGGUGGGAUUUUGGGGUCCUCCACGGGUGGCGGGGGGGUGGGGGGGGCAUUGGGGUCCUCCAAGAGUGGGGGGUGGGGAUGUGGGGUCCUCCAGGGGUGGGGGGAUGGGAUAUGGGGGUCCUCCAGGGGUGGGGGUGGGGAUAUGGAGGUCCUCCAGGGGUGAGGGGAGGUCCUCCAAGGGUGGGGGAUGGGGUAUGGGGGUCCUCCAGGGGUGGGGUUUGGGGGCGUUUGGGGUCCUCCAGGGGUGGGGGGUUGGGGUAUUGGGGUCCUCCAAGGGUGGGGGUUGAGGGCAUUGGGGUCCUCCAGGGGUAGAAGUGAGGAUGUGGGGUCAUCCAGGAGUGGGGUUUUGGGGUCCUCCAGGGGUGGGGGUGGGGGACAUUGGGGUCCUCCAAGGAUGGGGGAUGGGAUAUGUGAGUCCUCCAAGAGUGGGAUUUUGGGGUCCUCCAGGGGUGGUGGGGGGGCUGGGGGGGCAUUGGGGUCCUCCAAGGGUGGGGGAUGGGCAUAUUGGGGUCCUCCAAGAAUGGGGGGUGGGAAUAUUGGGGUCCUCCAAGGGUGGGGGGAUGGGAUAUGGGGGUCCUCCAGGGGUGGGGGUUGGGAUGUGGGGUCCUCCAGGGAUUGGCAUGGGGGACAUUGGGGUCCUCCAAGAGUGGGGGUGGGGAUAUGGAGGUCCUCCUGGGGUGAGGGGAGGUCCUCCAAGGGUGGGGGAUGGGGUAUGGGGGUCCUCCAGGGGUGGGGGGUCGGGGUAUUGGGGUCCUGCAGGGCUGGGGGGGGUCGGGGUAUUGGGGUCCUGCAGGGUCCGGCGCCGACCCCACACCUCCGAUCCCAUCGCAGCCCCACAGCGCGGGGAGCGGCAUUGGGGCACGGCGCUGCAAUGCACUCCGCGGCCGAUAGGGGGCGCUCGGCGUAAAGGGACGGCGAGGCGGAUCGGCCCGUAUAGCAUAGAACGGGCGGGAUAUGGGAUAUGGGAUAUGGGAUAUGGGAUAUGGGAUAUAGGGUAUGGGAUAUGGGAUAUAGGGUAUGGGGUACGGGAUAUGGGAUAUAGGGUGUGGGAUGUAGGAUAUAAGGUAUGGGAUAUGGGAUAUGGGAUAUAGGGGGUGGGAUAUAGGAUAUAGGGUACGGGAUAUGGGAUAUAGAGUAUGGGAUGUGGGAUAUAGGAUAUAGGAUAUGGGAUAUGGGAUAUAGGGUAUGGGGUACGGGAUAUGGGAUAUAGGGUAUGGUAUGUGGGAUAUAGGGUAUGGGAUGUGGGAUAUAGGAUAUGGGAUAUAGGGUAUGGGAUAUAGGGUAUGGGAUAUAGGGUAUGGGAUAUAGGAUAUGAGAUACAGGAUAUAGAGUACGGGAUAUGGGAUAAUAGUAUAUGGGAUAUAGGAUAUAGGGUGCAGGAUAUAGGAUAUAGGGUAUGGGAUAUGGGAUAUAGGGUAUGGGGUACGGGAUAUGGGAUAUAGGGUGUGGGAUGUAGGAUAUAAGGUAUGGGAUAUGGCAUAUAGGGUAUGGGGUACGGGAUAUGGGAUAUAGGGUACGGGAUGUGGGAUAUAGAAUAUAGGAUAUGGGAUAUGGGAUAUGGGAUAUAGGGUAUGGGAUAUGGGAUAUAGGGUGCAGGAUAUAGGAUAUAGGGUAUGCGAUAUGGGAUAUAGGGUAUGGGAUAUGGGAUAUAGGAGUAUGGGGUACGGGAUAUGGGAUAUAGGGAGCAGGAUAUGGGAUAUAGGGUAUGGGAUAUGGGAUAUAAGCUGCAGGAUAUAGGAUAUAGGGUAUGCAAUAUGGGAUAUAGGGUAUGGGAUACAGGAUAUGGGAUAUAGGGUGUGAGAUAUACGAUAUAGGGUAUGGGAUAUGGGAUAUGGGGUACGGGAUAUAGGAUAUAGGGUAUGGGAUAUGGGAUGUGGAGUACUGGAUAUGAAAUAUAGCAUAUAGGAUAUGAGAUAUGGAAUAUGGGAUAUAGGGUACGGGAUACAGGAUAUAGGGUACGGGAUAUGGGAUAUAGGAUAUGGGAUAUAGGGUGUGGGAUAUAGGAUAUAGGAUAUAGGAUAUAGGAUGCAGGAUAUAGGAUAUAGGGUGCAGGAUUUGGGGGAUGCUGUGUGCCACCCCUACGGCCCUAUAGGGUGGUCCCAAUGGACCGCCAUCCAUACCCCACCCCAUAUAUGGCCAUCCCCCACCCCAUAUGGGAUCCCCACCCCAUAUAGGAUCCCCAUCGCACCCCAUACGUUCCCAUACCCCAUCCCCACUGCACCCCACAUAGGAUUCCCACCCCACAUGGUCCCAUAUCUCACCCCCUAUAGGAUCCCCACCCCAUAUGGGAUCCCCACCCCACCCCCAUCGCACCCCAUAUAGGGUCCCCACCCCACCCCAUAUGGGAUCCGCACCCCAUAGAGGACCAUCCCCUCCCCCUAUAGGAUCCCCACCCCAUAUGGGAUCCCCACCCCAUAGAGGACCAUCCCCUCCCCCUAUAGGGUCCCCACCCCAUAUGGGAUCCUCCCACCAUAUAGGACCAUCCCCCAC
ensembl:lncRNA